GUAACGGCGAGUGAAGCGGCAACAGCUCAAAUUUGAAAUCUGGUCCUUUCAGGGCCCGAGUUGUAAUUUGCAGAGGAUGCUUCGGGCACGAGUACCUACCGAGUUCCCUGGAACGGGACGCCAUAGAGGGUGAGAGCCCCGUCUGGUAGAAUACUUAGCUCAUGUGAAGCUCCCUCGACGAGUCGAGUAGUUUGGGAAUGCUGCUCUAACGGGAGGUAUACUCCUUCCAAGGCUAAAUACCGGCUGGAGACCGAUAGCGCACAAGUAGAGUGAUCGAAAGAUGAAAAGCACUUUGAAAAGAGAGUCAAAUAGCACGUGAAAUUGUUGAAAGGGAAGCGCUCGCUACCAGACUUGAGUUAGGCGGUUCAACCGGGGCCACGCCCCGGGGCACUCCACCUACUCAGGCCAGCAUCAGCUUUCUGUUGGGGGCAAAGGCGUCGGGAAUGUGGCUCUCCUUCGGGAGAGUGUUAUAGCCCGGCGUGRCAUACCCUUCGGGAGGCUGAGGUACGCGCU
rnacentral:rRNA from 1 species